UCAGUCAACCUUGGCCUGCAAGCAGCUGAUCCACUUCCUGAUGUACAGUCCAAAGGUCAUUUCAUCUACUCAUGUAAGCAUUUUAUCAUCUUACAUCAUCACAAGAAGAAGGAUCUUAUUUAUUUAUCUCACAGAAAGAGACAGCGAGAGAAAGAACAUAAGAAGGGGGAGUGGGAAACGGAGAAGCAGGCUUCCUGAUGAGCAGGGAGCCCAUUGUCGGGCUUGAUCCUAGGACCCUGGGAUCACGACCUAAGCCAAACUCAGAUGCUUAAUGACUGAGUCACCCAGG
rnacentral:lncRNA from 1 species